rnacentral:rRNA from 1 species
GACGAACGCUGCCUUCGUGCUUAACACAUGCAAGUCGAACGGAAAGGCCCUGCUUUUGUGGGGUGCUCGAGUGGCGAACGGGUGAGUAACACGUGAGUAACCUGCCCUUGACUUUGGGAUAACUUCAGGAAACUGGGGCUAAUACCGGAUAGGAGCUCCUGCUGCAUGGUGGGGGUUGGAAAGUUUCGGCGGUUGGGGAUGGACUCGCGGCUUAUCAGCUUGUUGGUGGGGUAGUGGCUUACCAAGGCUUUGACGGGUAGCCGGCCUGAGAGGGUGACCGGCCACAUUGGGACUGAGAUACGGCCCAGACUCCUACGGGAGGCAGCAGUGGGGAAUAUUGCACAAUGGGCGGAAGCCUGAUGCAGCAACGCCGCGUGCGGGAUGACGGCCUUCGGGUUGUAAACCGCUUUCGCCUGUGACGAAGCGUGAGUGACGGUAAUGGGUAAAGAAGCACCGGCUAACUACGUGCCAGCAGCCGCGGUGAUACGUAGGGUGCGAGCGUUGUCCGGAUUUAUUGGGCGUAAAGGGCUCGUAGGUGGUUGAUCGCGUCGGAAGUGUAAUCUUGGGGCUUAACCCUGAGCGUGCUUUCGAUACGGGUUGACUUGAGGAAGGUAGGGGAGAAUGGAAUUCCUGGUGGAGCGGUGGAAUGCGCAGAUAUCAGGAGGAACACCAGUGGCGAAGGCGGUUCUCUGGGCCUUUCCUGACGCUGAGGAGCGAAAGCGUGGGGAGCGAACAGGCUUAGAUACCCUGGUAGUCCACGCUGUAAACGGUGGGUACUAGGUGUGGGGUCCAUUCCACGGGUUCCGUGCCGUAGCUAACGCUUUAAGUACCCCGCCUGGGGAGUACGGCCGCAAGGCUAAAACUCAAAGGAAUUGACGGGGCCCCGCACAAGCGGCGGAGCAUGCGGAUUAAUUCGAUGCAACGCGUAGAACCUUACCUGGGUUUGACAUGGAUCGGGAGCGCUCAGAGAUGGGUGUGCCUCUUUUGGGGUCGGUUCACAGGUGGUGCAUGGCUGUCGUCAGCUCGUGUCGUGAGAUGUUGGGUUAAGUCCCGCAACGAGCGCAACCCUUGUUCACUGUUGCCAGCACGUUAUGGUGGGGACUCAGUGGAGACCGCCGGGGUCAACUCGGAGGAAGGUGGGGAUGACGUCAAGUCAUCAUGCCCCUUAUGUCCAGGGCUUCACGCAUGCUACAAUGGCUGGUACAGAGAGUGGCGAGCCUGUGAGGGUGAGCGAAUCUCGGAAAGCCGGUCUCAGUUCGGAUUGGGGUCUGCAACUCGACCUCAUGAAGUCGGAGUCACUAGUAAUCGCAGAUCAGCAACGCUGCGGUGAAUACGUUCCCGGG